AGGGUUCGAUCCUGGCUCAGGAUGAACGCUGGCGGCGUGCUUAACACAUGCAAGUCGAACGGGGCUUAUUGGAGCAGCGAUUUCGGUCAAAGCACUGAUAAGCCGAGUGGCGGACGGGUGAGUAACGCGUGGGCAACCUGCCCUGUACAGGGGGAUAACACUUAGAAAUAGGUGCUAAUACCGCAUAAGCGCACAGCUUCGCAUGAAGCGGUGUGAAAAACUCCGGUGGUACAGGAUGGGCCCGCGUUGGAUUAGCUGGUUGGAGGGGUAACGGCCCACCAAGGCGACGAUCCAUAGCCGGCCUGAGAGGGUGAACGGCCACAUUGGGACUGAGACACGGCCCAA
rnacentral:rRNA from 1 species